rnacentral:misc_RNA from 1 species
GUGAAUUUUAGGGUGUCUACUUUGUAGAGCCUGACCUCCACUUCUAACACUGUGCACUUGAUGGCGUUUCGAACGGAUUAGACCUCUCGGGGAUUUAUGAUGUUCUUAACGCGGCUUCAUUUUAAACAUUAGUUAAAGUAUGUAACGAAAUAUCGAAACAAAAA